AGCAGGAACUGGGGAAGGGAGAGUGCAGAUCAUGAACUAUUUUUCAGGGCAGGAGCAAUAACAUCAUCUGCCAGACCGGCAGGGUGCCCCUGGAGCCACUGCCUCCCCUCACUGUGAAUGGGCAGGAGGAAUACGAAGUGGACCGGAUACUGGACUCGCGGAAACACAGGGGCUGGCUUCAAUAUUUAAUCCACUGGAAGGGGUAUGAUCCAUCGUUCCUGGGAAGUGGCAGAUGAUGUCCAUGCAGCAGACAUGAUUGCAAACUGAUGUGAAAAUGUGAAGAACUGAAUUGAAGAUUGGCAAAAAUCAGAAACAGAGAGAAACCGAAAUGGUCAGAUUCACCCAUCAUUGGUCAGGGGCAGUUGGAGAUGAAGGGCAAAUGCCAUGUUGUUAUAUGUUGAGGUAGAACAUGUAUCAAGAGAAAUCCAGAUUUAUUUGGGACAACCUGAGCUUAUUGAAAAAGAACAUGCACAAGAAACUCCAUUCUAAUAAACGAGGAAAGAAGCAGCCAUCUGAACUUAUAUCAUGUAUGGAAAUAUACAGCUUUAUUGGUUUAUGGAGUCAAUAUACAUGGACUCAUGUACACAGACCGCUGCAAAGCUGCAGGG